AACGAACGCUGGCGGCAGGCUUAACACAUGCAAGUCGAACGCAUCCUUCGGGGUGAGUGGCAGACGGGUGAGUAACGCGUGGGAACGUGCCCUUCAGUUCGGGAUAACCCAGGGAAACUUGGGCUAAUACCGGAUACGUGCGAGAGCAGAAAGAUUUAUCGCUGAAGGAUCGGCCCGCGUCUGAUUAGCUAGUUGGUGGGGUAAUGGCCCACCAAGGCGACGAUCAGUAGCUGGUCUGAGAGGAUGAUCAGCCACAUUGGGACUGAGACACGGCCCAAACGCCUACGGGAGGCAGCAAUGGGGAAUAUUGGACAAUGGGCGCAAGCCUGUUCCAGCCAUGCCGCGUGAGUGAUGAAGGCCUUAGGGUUGUAAAGCUCUUUCGUCCGGGACGAUAAUGACGGUACCGGAAGAAGAAGCCCCGGCUAACUUCGUGCCAGCCGCCGCUGUAA
rnacentral:rRNA from 1 species